AAAUUGAAGAGUUUGAUCAUGGCUCAGAUUGAACGCUGGCGGCAGGCCUAACACAUGCAAGUCGAACGGUAACAGGAAGCAGCUUGCUGCUUCGCUGACGAGUGGCGGACGGGUGAGUAAUGUCUGGGAAACUGCCUGAUGGAGGGGGAUAACUACUGGAAACGGUGGCUAAUACCGCAUAACGUCGCAAGACCAAAGAGGGGGACCUUCGGGCCUCUUGCCAUCAGAUGUGCCCAGAUGGGAUUAGCUAGUUGGUGAGGUAACGGCUCACCAAGGCGACGAUCCCUAGCUGGUCUGAGAGGAUGACCAGCCACACUGGAACUGAGACACGGUCCAGACUCCUACGGGAGGCAGCAGUGGGGAAUAUUGCACAAUGGGCGCAAGCCUGAUGCAGCCAUGCCGCGUGUAUGAAGAAGGCCUUCGGGUUGUAAAGUACUUUCAGCGGGGAGGAAGGUGUUGUGGUUAAUAACCGCAGCAAUUGACGUUACCCGCAGAAGAAGCACCGGCUAACUCCGUGCCAGCAGCCGCGGUAAUACGGAGGGUGCAAGCGUUAAUCGGAAUUACUGGGCGUAAAGCGCACGCAGGCGGUCUGUCAAGUCGGAUGUGAAAUCCCCGGGCUCAACCUGGGAACUGCAUUCGAAACUGGCAGGCUUGAGUCUUGUAGAGGGGGGUAGAAUUCCAGGUGUAGCGGUGAAAUGCGUAGAGAUCUGGA
rnacentral:rRNA from 1 species